AUUGAACGCUGGCGGCAUGCCUUGCACAUGCAAGUCGAACGGUAACAGGUUUUCGUAUGCUGACGAGUGGCGAACGGGUGAGUAAUACAUCGGAACGUGCCUAGUAGUGGGGGAUAACUACUCGAAAGAGUGGCUAAUACCGCAUGAGAUCUACGGAUGAAAGCAGGGGAUCGCAAGACCUUGUGCUACUAGAGCGGCCGAUGGCAGAUUAGGUGGUUGGUGGGAUAAAAGCUUACCAAGCCGACGAUCUGUAACUGGUCUGAGAGGACGAUCAGCCACACUGGAACUGACACACGCACCAGACUCCUACGGGAGGCAGCAGUGGGGAAUUUUGGACAAUGGGCGCAAGCCUGAUUCAGCAAUGCCGCGUGCAGGAUGAAGGCCUUCGGGUUGUAAACUGCUUUUGUACGGAACGAAAAGCCCCGGGUUAAUACCCUGGGGUCAUGACGGUACCGUAAGAAUAAGGACCGGCUAACUACGUGCCAGCAGCCGCAGUAA
rnacentral:rRNA from 1 species